AUGCAGACGUGGCCACUCGUAUCUCUUUAAAGGACAUGAGUAUACCACAGUGAUGCCAGAAGUUCUCAGGCGUUAUUUAUCUGGGAAACGAUGUGUCUGAAAGGGAAAAUAAAAUAACUUUGACAAGCUGCCCAUGCCAAAUGUGAAGUGCUUUGCUGUCUUCUGGAAGCAAGUGGGGGUAAGCCUGAGGAUGUACGCCUUCCCUGGCCUGCUGGGACGCAGCUGGGCUGUCAAACCCAGCCUUUGCCUCUGUUAAAACAGGCCAGGAGCUCAAGAGCUCAAGAGACGAAAAGCAAGAGAUACCUGUUCCAUCACCCACAACAGCCCUUUUCCACUAGCAGCUUUCAAACAGCUAAUCAAAAAGCAAGCACAGACUGGUACAACGCUUGAAACAUGCCGUUGCCUUUGCACGUCACUGUCAUCCAUCCUUGCACGCUCCAAAGCCCACGGUCUGGUUUUCAGGAGCUGCAAUGUGCCUUGAAAAUCUAGGUUUUGGAUGGACAUAUCUGGAUGCCAGAUCCAAGUCAGCCUAUCCAGCUCAGCGGAAUGAAACUUAUGGGCAUCAUCAAGCUUUGCAUCAAUAGAAGCAGAAGACUGGCAACUCUUCAGAUGAGCCAACGUUUUCAAAGCAAGGGAUCUUCCAUCACUAAAUCAACACGACUCAGCCUGCUGCAGGAAGACAGAAAACAGGACAAGCACAGGCCAUCUAAAAAUAAAAUUGAGCCA